UGCCAGCCGCCGCGGUAAUACGGAGGGUGCCAGCGUUAAUCGGAAUUACUGGGCGUAAAGCGCGCGUAGGCGGUUAUUUAAGUCGGAUGUGAAAGCCCCGGGCUCAACCUGGGAAUUGCCUUCGAUACUGGAUAACUAGAGUGCGAGAGAGGGAGGUAGAAUUCCACGUGUAGCGGUGAAAUGCGUAGAUAUGUGGAGGAAUACCGGUGGCGAAGGCGGCCUCCUGGCUCGACACUGACGCUGAGGUGCGAAAGCCUGGGGAGCAAACAGGAUUAGAUA
rnacentral:rRNA from 1 species